rnacentral:rRNA from 1 species
CAGGCCUAACACAUGCAAGUCGAACGAAGCCUUCGGGCUUAGUGGCGGACGGGUUAGUAACGCGUGGGAAUGUACCCUUCACUACGGAAUAGUCCCGGGAAACUGGGUUUAAUACCGUAUACGCCCUUCGGGGGAAAGAAUUUCGGUGAAGGAUCAGCCCGCGUUAGAUUAGGUAGUUGGUGGGGUAAUGGCCUACCAAGCCUACGAUCUAUAGCUGGUUUGAGAGGAUGAUCAGCAACACUGGGACUGAGACACGGCCCAGACUCCUACGGGAGGCAGCAGUGGGGAAUCUUAGACAAUGGGGGAAACCCUGAUCUAGCCAUGCCGCGUGAGUGACGAAGGUCUUAGGAUCGUAAAGCUCUUUCAACUGUGAAGAUAAUGACGGUAGCAGUAGAAGAAACCCCGGCUAACUCCGUGCCAGCAGCCGCGGUAAUACGGAGGGGGUUAGCGUUGUUCGGAAUUACUGGGCGUAAAGCGUACGUAGGCGGAUUGGAAAGUUGGGGGUGAAAUCCCGGGGCUCAACCUCGGAACUGCCUCCAAAACUAUCAGUCUAGAGUUCGAGAGAGGUGAGUGGAAUUCCGAGUGUAGAGGUGAAAUUCGUAGAUAUUCGGAAGAACACCAGUGGCGAAGGCGGCUCACUGGCUCGAUACUGACGCUGAGGUGCGAAAGUGUGGGUAGCAAACAGGAUUAGAUACCCUGGUAGUCCACACCGUAAACGAUGAAUGCCAGUCGUCAGGGGGCUUGCCCCUUGGUGACACACCUAACGGAGUAAGCAUUCCGCCUGGAGGAGUCGGCCGCAAGGUUAAAAC